CUACGGGGCGCAGCAGUGGGGAAUAUUGGACAAUGGGGGAAACCCUGAUCCAGCAAUGCCGCGUGUGUGAAGAAGGCCUGCGGGUUGUAAAGCACUUUCGGUUGGGAGGACUGCUUCUAGCACUAAUAUUGUUGGAAGUUGACGUUACCUUCAGAAGAAGCACCGGCUAACUCCGGUGCCAGCAGCCGCGGUAAUCGGGGGGUGCAAGCGUUAAUCGGAAUUACUGGGCGUAAAGCGCGCGUAGGCGGCUAGAUCAGUCGGGUGUGAAAGCCCCGGGCUUAACCUGGGAACUGCAUCCGAUACUGUCUAGCUUGAGUACAGGAGAGGAGAGUGGAAUUCCACAUGUAGCGGUGAAAUGCGUAGAUAUGUGGAGGAACACCAAUGGCGAAGGCAGCUCUCUGGCCUGAUACUGACGCUGAGGUGCGAAAGCGUGGGGAGCAAACAGGAUUAGAUACCCCGGUAGUC
rnacentral:rRNA from 1 species